AGUGAACGCUGGCGGCGUGCUUAACACAUGCAAGUCGAACGAGAAACUUAAAUAGCUUGCUACUUAAGACUAAGUGGCGCACGGGUGAGUAAUAUAUAGGUAACGUGCCUUCAAGAAGGGGAUAACAGUUGGAAACGACUGCUAAGACCCUAUAUGCCUUUAUGACAUAAGUCAGCAAGGGAAAUAUUUAUAGCUUGAAGAUCGGCCUGUACGGUAUCAGUUAGUUGGUGAGGUAAUGGCUCACCAAGACAAUGACACCUAACUGGUUUGAGAGGAUGAUCAGUCACACUGGAACUGAGACACGGUCCAGACUCCUACGGGAGGCAGCAGUGGGGAAUAUUGCACAAUGGACGAAAGUCUGAUGCAGCAACGCCGCGUGGAGGAUGACACAUUUCGGUGCGUAAACUCCUUUUAUAUAGGAAGAUAAUGACGGUACUAUAUGAAUAAGCACCGGCUAACUCCGUGCCAGCAGCCGCGGUAAAGUAG
rnacentral:rRNA from 1 species